CCCACCACCGCGGGGGCGCUGCUGGGCUAACGGUGUUUGUCUCAUCACAAUACGAGUGAUUUCCAGAAGGUGCUGACGACCACUGCCACUGCUCACUCAGAAAGACAGGGUGACAGCUCAAGACCCCCUCUUUUUUUCUUUUUUCUUAAGCCACUCUUUGACUUACUCUUUGCCUUGGGUGAGGGAAUCCGCUGAUCGACGGCCCUGUCCUCCCUCCUCCCCAGACCAAUCUGCCUCCUACCACUUCUCUGACCUCCAGUUUAGAGCGGCAGUGCCCCCCACUGAAGGAAUUUCAAACAGAAGACAGCAGCUGCACGGAGAUUUUUUUUUUUUUGUUUUUUUUUUUUUUGGACCGAAGAGCCCUGCGGGGAAAGUGCUUGGCCUUGAAAGUCUUUAUCUACAGAUAACAAACUUGGCUGGGUGAGAGGUUUUCUGAGAAACACUCACAUGAGCAGCUCUCCUCAGGGGCCUUGAGCCACAUUUCCUGCUCUCUUCCCUCCUGCAAGGACAACCUUCCUCCCUCACCCGGAAACCUCAAACAGCAUCUAAGUUCAUCCAGCUGCCCCCGAGACUCCUCCACUCAGACGCUAUGGAGACUGCUCAGUGUCAACACAGCCAGAACCCAAUUACCUUCUCUUCAG